GUGAGGAAUAUUGGGCAAUGCCCGCAAGGGUGACCCAGCAACGCCGCGUGGAGGAUGAAUGCCGUAAGGUUGUAAACUCCUGUUAGAGGGGACGAAAUAUUCAGCUUCGUAAGAAUCUGAAUUUGACUGUACCCUCAGAGAAAGCCCCGGCUAACUACGUGCCAGCAGCCGCGGUAAUACGUAGGGGGCAAGCGUUGUCCGGAUUCACUGGGUGUAAAGGGCGCGCAGGCGGGUUAAUAAGUCAGAGGUGAAAUCCUACAGCUCAACUGUAGAACUGCCUUUGAUACUGUUAAUCUUGAGUUCGGAAGAGAGAGACGGAAUUCCAGGUGUAGUGGUGAAAUACGUAGAUAUCUGGAAGAACACCAGUAGCGAAGGCGGUCUCUUGGUCCGAUACUGACGCUCAGGCGCGAAAGCGUGGGUAGCAAACAGGAUUAGAAACCCUAGUAGUCC
rnacentral:rRNA from 1 species